CUGAGAGGAUGACCAGCCACACUGGAACUGAGACACGGUCCAGACUCCUACGGGAGGCAGCAGUGGGGAAUAUUGCACAAUGGGCGCAAGCCUGAUGCAGCCAUGCCGCGUGUAUGAAGAAGGCCUUCGGGUUGUAAAGUACUUUCAGCGGGGAGGAAGGGAGUAAAGUUAAUACCUUUGCUCAUUGACGUUACCCGCAGAAGAAGCACCGGCUAACUCCGUGCCAGCAGCCGCGGUAAUACGGAGGGUGCAAGCGUUAAUCGGAAUUACUGGGCGUAAAGCGCACGCAGGCGGUUUGUUAAGUCAGAUGUGAAAUCCCCGGGCUCAACCUGGGAACUGCAUCUGAUACUG
rnacentral:rRNA from 1 species